AGAGAAACCCAAUAAAUGCAGUGAAUGUGGGAAGGCCUUUAGAGUCUGCCAGCAGCUCACUUUUCACCACAGAAUUCACACAGGCGAGAAGCCCUAUGAAUGUAAGGAGUGUGGGGUGUCCUUCAGGCAGACUGCACAACUUACCUGGCACCAGAGACUGCAAUCUGGUGAAAAACUGUAUGAAUGCAAGGAGUGUGGGCAAGCUUUCAUAUACGGCCCAAAGCUCAGAGCACAUCAGAAGCUUCACACCGGUGAGAAGCCCUAUGCAUGUAAAGAAUGUGGGAAAGCCUUCAGGGACGGGACCAACUUACUCUCCAUCAGAGGAUCCAUACUGGGGAGAAGCCCUAUGUGUGUCAAGAGUGUGGGAAGGCCUUCAGGCAGUUGGCGCACCUCACUCGCCAUCAGAAGCUUAAUGUUGCUGACAGACUGUAUGAGUGUAAAGAGUGUGGGAAAGACUUUUUGUGUGGCUCUGGCCUUAGAGUACAUCACAAACUUCCCACUGGUGAGAAACCCUAUGAGUGCAAGGACUGUGGGAAGGCGUUUAGAGUUCGACAGCAGCUAACGCUCCAUCAGAGAAUUCGUUCUGUGGAGAAGCACUAUG
rnacentral:lncRNA from 1 species